CAGUAGCCGCGGGAAUACGUAGGUGGCAAGCGUUAUCCGGAAUUAUUGGGCGUAAAGCGCGCGUAGGCGGUUUUUUAAGUCUGAUGUGAAAGCCCACGGCUCAACCGUGGAGGGUCAUUGGAAACUGGAAAACUUGAGUGCAGAAGAGGAAAGUGGAAUUCCAUGUGUAGCGGUGAAAUGCGCAGAGAUAUGGAGGAACACCAGUGGCGAAGGCGACUUUCUGGUCUGUAACUGACGCUGAUGUGCGAAAGCGUGGGGAUCAAACAGGAUUAGAUACCCGCGUAGUCCCUGUCUCUUAUAC
rnacentral:rRNA from 1 species